ACACCGUGCCGCCCACUGUCUGCAACCACUCCGUUAACAUCAGUGAAUGAACCUCAGCUACAGACCAGCAAGAGCUGAUUACCUGACUCCGCCCACUGAAGUCCAGCUCAACCAAUGAGCUUCUCUGUGUCUCCAGAGCAGAAAUGUUGGAGGAAGUCAAAGCACAAUCCUCCUGAUGCUGAGGAGAAGGGCUGUGCAGCAGAGAGGCUGUUGACUUGUUUCCUUCUACUGCAGUGGAAGAACAUUGUUCAUCUACUGUCUGUUUGGCUCCAACUGCUCCAACGACAUGUUGCUUUACCUCUGUCUCUGUUUGUUUCACUUUACAGCCAUUGGCUCCAUGAACAGUAUAAAUCCAGAAAAAGCUGAAGCCGUUGUGACAGAAGGAGGAAACAUCAACCUGACCUGUACAUAUAGUGGUUCUAUCUACAACAUCCAGUGGUACCGGCAACACCACAGAUCCAGACCAGAGUUCCUGCUCUACAUCACAGAGGGAGGAUUAAUUCAUCCAACUGGUUCUGUUUUCCCAGCUCACAUCAAUAAAACAGAGAAACGUGUGGAUCUGGAGAUCUCCUCUGCUGCAGUGUCUGACUCUGCUGUGUACUACUGUGCUCUGAGGCCCACAGUGACAGGAAACACCUCAACUCUGUACAAAAACCUCUGGAGCAAAGACAACACAAUGCUCCACAGCAUCCACCAGAGGGAGACACUGUGAUAAACUGAUGGUUUGGGAUCAACUAGAUUGAGACUGAGAUAUUUUCCCUUGACUCACGAGUGUCAAGAAUCGUUGACCAGAG